rnacentral:piRNA from 1 species
UUGGAGUUUCAAUUGGAAUGA